rnacentral:rRNA from 1 species
ACAACGGGUGGAGCUUGCGGUUUAAUCGGACUCAACGCCGGGAAACUCACCAGAUAAGACAGCUGAAUGAUAGUCGGGCUGAAGACUCUACUUGACUAGCUGAGAGGAGGUGCAUGGCCAUCGUCAGUUCGUACUGUGAAGCAUCCUGUUAAGUCAGGCAACGAGCGAGACCCACGCCAACAGUUGCCAGCUCGUCCUCCGGGAUGGUGGGGACACUGUUGGGACCGCCUCUGCUAAAGAGGAGGAAGGAAUGGGCAACGGUAGGUCAGCAUGCCCCGAAUUAUCUGGGCUACACGCGGGCUACAAUGGGUGGGACAAUGGGUAUCGACACCGAAAGGUGAAGGCAAUCUCCUAAACCCAUCCGUAGUUCGGAUUGUGGGCUGCAACUCGCCCACAUGAAGCUGGAAUCUGUAGUAAUCGUGUCUCAAAAUGGCACGGUGAAUAUGUCCCUGCUCCUU